ACAUGCAGUCGAACGGAACUGUUUUGAAAGAUUUCUUCGGAAUGAAUUUGAUUUAGUUUAGUGGCGGACGGGUGAGUAACGCGUGAGUAACCUGCCUUCAAGAGGGGGAUAACAUUCUGAAAAGAAUGCUAAUACCGCAUGAUAUAUUGGAACCACAUGGUUCUGAUAUCAAAGAUUUUAUCGCUUGAAGAUGGACUCGCGUCCGAUUAGUUAGUUGGUGAGGUAACGGCUCACCAAGACCGCGAUCGGUAGCCGGACUGAGAGGUUGAACGGCCACAUUGGGACUGAGACACGGCCCAGACUCCUACGGGAGGCAGCAGUGGGGGAUAUUGCGCAAUGGGGGCAACCCUGACGCAGCAACGCCGCGUGAAGGAUGAAGGUUUUCGGAUUGUAAACUUCUUUUAUUAAGGACGAAAAAUGACGGUACUUAAUGAAUAAGCUCCGGCUAACUACGUGCCAGCAGCCGCGGUAAUACGUAGGGAGCAAGCGUUGUCCGGAUUUACUGGGUGUAAAGGGUG
rnacentral:rRNA from 1 species